rnacentral:rRNA from 1 species
CGAUACAGGGUGACAGCCCCGUACACAAAAAUGCACAUAUUGUGAGCUCGAUGAGUAGGGCGGGACACGUGGUAUCCUGUCUGAAUAUGGGGGGACCAUCCUCCAAGGCUAAAUACUCCUGACUGACCGAUAGUGAACCAGUACCGUGAGGGAAAGGCGAAAAGAACCCCGGCGAGGGGAGUGAAAAAGAACCUGAAACCGUGUACGUACAAGCAGUGGGAGCCUCUUUAUGGGGUGACUGCGUACCUUUUGUAUAAUGGGUCAGCGACUUAUAUUCUGUAGCAAGGUUAACCGAAUAGGGGAGCCGAAGGGAAACCGAGUCUUAACUGGGCGUUAAGUUGCAGGGUAUAGACCCGAAACCCGGUGAUCUAGCCAUGGGCAGGUUGAAGGUUGGGUAACACUAACUGGAGGACCGAACCGACUAAUGUUGAAAAAUUAGCGGAUGACUUGUGGCUGGGGGUGAAAGGCCAAUCAAACCGGGAGAUAGCUGGUUCUCCCCGAAAGCUAUUUAGGUAGCGCCUCGUGAAUUCAUCUCCGGGGGUAGAGCACUGUUUCGGCAAGGGGGUCAUCCCGACUUACCAACCCGAUGCAAACUGCGAAUACCGGAGAAUGUUAUCACGGGAGACACACGGCGGGUGCUAACGUCCGUCGUGAAGAGGGAAACAACCCAGACCGCCAGCUAAGGUCCCAAAGUCAUGGUUAAGUGGGAAACGAUGUGGGAAGGCCCAGACAGCCAGGAUGUUGGCUUAGAAGCAGCCAUCAUUUAAAGAAAGCGUAAUAGCUCACUGGUCGAGUCGGCCUGCGCGGAAGAUGUAACGGGGCUAAACCAUGCACCGAAGCUGCGGCAGCGACACUAUGUGUUGUUGGGUAGGGGAGCGUUCUGUAAGCCUGUGAAGGUGGCCUGUGAGGGUUGCUGGAGGUAUCAGAAGUGCGAAUGCUGACAUAAGUAACGAUAAAGCGGGUGAAAAGCCCGCUCGCCGGAAGACCAAGGGUUCCUGUCCAACGUUAAUCGGGGCAGGGUGAGUCGACCCCUAAGGCGAGGCCGAAAGGCGUAGUCGAUGGGAAACAGGUUAAUAUUCCUGUACUUGGUGUUACUGCGAAGGGGGGACGGAGAAGGCUAUGUUGGCCGGGCGACGGUUGUCCCGGUUUAAGCGUGUAGGCUGGUUUUCCAGGCAAAUCCGGAAAACCAAGGCUGAGGCGUGAUGACGAGGCACUACGGUGCUGAAGCGACAAAUGCCCUGCUUCCAGGAAAAGCCUCUAAGCAUCAGGUAACAUCAAAUCGUACCCCAAACCGACACAGGUGGUCAGGUAGAGAAUACCAAGGCGCUUGAGAGAACUCGGGUGAAGGAACUAGGCAAAAUGGUGCCGUAACUUCGGGAGAAGGCACGCUGAUAUGUAGGUGAAGCGACUUGCUCGUGGAGCUGAAAUCAGUCGAAGAUACCAGCUGGCUGCAACUGUUUAUUAAAAACACAGCACUGUGCAAACACGAAAGUGGACGUAUACGGUGUGACGCCUGCCCGGUGCCGGAAGGUUAAUUGAUGGGGUUAGCGGUAACGCGAAGCUCUUGAUCGAAGCCCCGGUAAACGGCGGCCGUAACUAUAACGGUCCUAAGGUAGCGAAAUUCCUUGUCGGGUAAGUUCCGACCUGCACGAAUGGCGUAAUGAUGGCCAGGCUGUCUCCACCCGAGACUCAGUGAAAUUGAACUCGCUGUGAAGAUGCAGUGUACCCGCGGCAAGACGGAAAGACCCCGUGAACCUUUACUAUAGCUUGACACUGAACAUUGAGCCUUGAUGUGUAGGAUAGGUGGGAGGCUUUGAAGUGUGGACGCCAGUCUGCAUGGAGCCGACCUUGAAAUACCACCCUUUAAUGUUUGAUGUUCUAACGUUGGCCCGUAAUCCGGGUUGCGGACAGUGUCUGGUGGGUAGUUUGACUGGGGCGGUCUCCUCCUAAAGAGUAACGGAGGAGCACGAAGGUUGGCUAAUCCUGGUCGGACAUCAGGAGGUUAGUGCAAUGGCAUAAGCCAGCUUGACUGCGAGCGUGACGGCGCGAGCAGGUGCGAAAGCAGGUCAUAGUGAUCCGGUGGUUCUGAAUGGAAGGGCCAUCGCUCAACGGAUAAAAGGUACUCCGGGGAUAACAGGCUGAUACCGCCCAAGAGUUCAUAUCGACGGCGGUGUUUGGCACCUCGAUGUCGGCUCAUCACAUCCUGGGGCUGAAGUAGGUCCCAAGGGUAUGGCUGUUCGCCAUUUAAAGUGGUACGCGAGCUGGGUUUAGAACGUCGUGAGACAGUUCGGUCCCUAUCUGCCGUGGGCGCUGGAGAACUGAGGGGGGCUGCUCCUAGUACGAGAGGACCGGAGUGGACGCAUCACUGGUGUUCGGGUUGUCAUGCCAAUGGCACUGCCCGGUAGCUAAAUGCGGAAGAGAUAAGUGCUGAAAGCAUCUAAGCACGAAACUUGCCCCGAGAUGAGUUCUCCCUGACUCCUUGAGAGUCCUGAAGGAACGUUGAAGACGACGACGUUGAUAGGCCGGGUGUGUAAGCGCAGCGAUGCGUUGAGCUAACCGGUACUAAUGAACCGUGAGGCUUAACCU